AUAAGCGGAGGACAAGAAAUCAACAGAGAUUGCCUCAGUAACGGCGAGUGAAGCGGCAACAGCUCAAAUUUGAAAUCUGGCUCCCUUGGGGGCCCGAGUUGUAAUUUGCAGAGGGUGCUUUGGCAUCGGCUGCGGUCUAAGUUCCUUGGAACAGGACGUCGCAGAGGGUGAGAAUCCCGUACGUGGCCGCCAGCCUUUGCCGUGUAAAGCCCCUUCGAAGAGUCGAGUUGUUUGGGAAUGCAGCUCUAAACAGGAGGUAAAUUCCUUCCAAAGCUAAAUACCGGCCAGAGACCGAUAGCGCACAAGUAGAGUGAUCGAAAGAUGAAAAGCACUUUGGAAAGAGAGUCAAAAAGCACGUGAAAUUGUUGAAAGGGAAGCGCUUGCAGCCAGACGCGCCUGCGGUCGUUCAUCCGGGCUUCUGCCCGGUGCACUCCCCCGCAGGUGGGCCAGCGUCAGCUUGGGUGGCCGGAUAAAAGCCCGCUAAACGUACCUCCCCCGGGAGGACUUAUAGGGCGGGUGGCAUACGGUCAGCCUGGGCUGAGGACCGCGCUUCGGCGAGGAUGCUGGCGUAAUGGUGGCAAGCGGCCCGUCUUGAAACACGGACCAAGGAGUCUAACGUCUAUGCGAGUGUUUGGGUGUCAAGCCCGAUCGCGCAAUGAAAGUGAACGGAGGUGAGAUCCCUCGCGGGUGCAUCAUCGACCGAUCCUGAAGUCUUCGGAUGGAUUUGAGUAAGAGCGUAGCCGUUGGGACCCGAAAGAAGGUGAACUAAGCUUGAAUAGGGUGAAGCCAGAGGAAACUCUGGUGGAGGCUCGCAGCGGUUCUGACGUGCAAAUCGAUCGUCAAAUUUGGGCUUAGGGGCGAAAGACUAAUCGAACUUUCUAGUAGCUGGUUCCUGCCGAAGUUUCCCUCAGGAUAGCAGUGACGUUUUCAGUUUUAUGAGGUAAAGCGAAUGAUUAGAGGACUGGGGGUUGAAACAACCUUCACCUAUUCUCAAACUUUAAAUAUGUAAGAAGUCCUUGUUACUUGAUU
rnacentral:rRNA from 1 species